CUUGCUGCUUCGCUGACGAGUGGCGGACGGGUGAGUAAUGUCUGGGAAACUGCCUGAUGGAGGGGGAUAACUACUGGAAACGGUGGCUAAUACCGCAUAACGUCGCAAGACCAAAGAGGGGGACCUUCGGGCCUCUUGCCAUCAGAUGUGCCCAGAUGGGAUUAGCUUGUUGGUGAGGUAACGGCUCACCAAGGCGACGAUCCCUAGCUGGUCUGAGAGGAUGACCAGCCACACUGGAACUGAGACACGGUCCAGACUCCUACGGGAGGCAGCAGUGGGGAAUAUUGCACAAUGGGCGCAAGCCUGAUGCAGCCAUGCCGCGUGUAUGAAGAAGGCCUUCGGGUUGUAAAGUACUUUCAGCGGGGAGGAAGGUGUUGUGGUUAAUAACCGCAGCAAUUGACGUUACCCGCAGAAGAAGCACCGGCUAACUCCGUGCCAGCAGCCGCGGUAAUACGGAGGGUGCAAGCGUUAAUCGGAAUUACUGGGCGUAAAGCGCACGCAGGCGGUCUGUCAAGUCGGAUGUGAAAUCCCCGGGCUCAACCUGGGAACUGCAUUCGAAACUGGCAGGCUUGAGUCUUGUAGAGGGGGGUAGAAUUCCAGGUGUAGCGGUGAAAUGCGUAGAGAUCUGGAGGAAUACCGGUGGCGAAGGCGGCCCCCUGGACAAAGACUGACGCUCAGGUGCGAAAGCGUGGGGAGCAAACAGGAUUAGAUACCCUGGUAGUCCACGCCGUAAACGAUGUCUACUUGGAGGUUGUGCCCUUGAGGCGUGGCUUCCGGAGCUAACGCGUUAAGUAGACCGCCUGGGGAGUACGGCCGCAAGGUUAAAACUCAAAUGAAUUGACGGGGGCCCGCACAAGCGGUGGAGCAUGUGGUUUAAUUCGAUGCAACGCGAAGAACCUUACCUGGUCUUGACAUCCACAGAACAUUCCAGAGAUGGAUUGGUGCCUUCGGGAACUGUGAAACAGGUGCUGCAUGGCUGUCGUCAGCUCGUGUUGUGAAAUGUUGGGUUAA
rnacentral:rRNA from 1 species